GUCACCUCAGGAUCUUGUUGAAAUGCAGGUUCUGGUUUGGUAGAUUAAGGUGGGGCUCAAGGUUCUGCAUUUUUAACAAGCUCCCAUGUGAUGCUGG
rnacentral:pre_miRNA from 1 species